UCCCGGAGGGCAGUGGGGUGAACAGUCUUUGAUGAUGCUACGCGCCUUACGUAAGCAUCGCUUGCCCUGGAUAGCCUCGAUGGAGGGGAGUGGGGAACCGUUGAUGCAUUGGGCAAUUUUCACCACCCUCUGAAAUGCUUUACGGUCGGAGGCAAAGCAGUUGCCAUACCAUACUGUGACCGUUGGUGAGCAGGGACGUGCACAGGGGGGUUGCUCAGGUUGCCCUACCUACUGUAACGCACACGCGUCCAGCUUGCUCCAAUCACCACGCAGCCACUGCUCAUUUCCUACCAAUGGAAUAUUCUCUGCUUCAUUUCCUGCCAAUCAAACGGCGCACCGGCUUUUCCUCGUCCAUUUCUGGCCACUCAUGUCAUCCAGCGUGGUCUGUCAUCUCUAUGAAUCACGGAUCCAUCCAAGGUAGUCUAUGGCAUUUUUCUAUAUUUAAUUAAUUAUUUAGUUCAUUAAUUAGUUACAUUUCUCUAGCUAAGACUAUGGGACAGGAACAGUGUUAGUGUCUAUUAACUAGCAUUAGCGGUAGGUAACUGUUAAUGUAACGUAAAUUAUGUUGUUAUUAUGUUAAGUUGUUACGAUAGCGUUAUAGGCCUAUCUAUCAUACGUUGUUAGGAUAGUUUACAAUGUUGACAGUCAUAUGAUAAUUGUAAUAACAAACUUGUUACAAUUGUGCUCUGUUGAAAAGAUGCCAUCAAUUGUGCUCUGUUUAAAAGAUGGCAUCAAUGAAGAAAAAAAGACAUCGGGCGAUGGGAGACGAGGUGUGGUAUGCCAACUCAGGGACCUGGCCCUCAGAAUUAGGUAACAGGCCUGGCACUAAGGUGAAAACAUGGCACGACCUCUAUAAAAAGAUUGAGAAAUGUCCGGCGCAGCUUAGGGGCCAGACAUCACUUUUUAUGGGUCAGGGUCAGCAGACAUGUGCAUGUGGUUUCCACUCUGCUGAGCCUAAAAGUGCAACACCAGCUCUCAAGGACACAGGUGUCACACCAUCAGGUCCAGGUCUGACCACUCAUAAGGCCACAGGUGCAACACCAUCAGGUCCAGGUCUGACCGCUCAUAAGGCCACAGGUGCCCCACUAGGAGCUCCUCCCGCUGCUGCACCUGGACCAUCAGGCACCUCCCCUUUCAAGCCCUGGAAAGUGCCGGAUAAACUGAGUCAAGUCCUGCCUAUUCUUUGAUCAAACUAUAUUCUUUUAUUGUUUUCUUGUCUAAUCUUUUAAUACUUCACAUUGACAUCCUCCUCCUUCACCACUGGCCCCACUGCCUCCUCCUCCACCACUGGCCCCACUGGUCCAGCCAUCAGAACUGGCUGUAGACAAACAUAACAUGCCAGGCAUGGACAAGGUGGACAGCCUAGCUGAGUUCCUGGUGGAUCUGCGUCAUGAGCCAUCCUUGACCCUUACCAACCAGCAGGCUGGCAGAAUUGUAAGUCUGUGGCAGAACCUGUUGCCGUAUGACCAACAACGUGUGGCCUUUGCUGCACGGAACCAAGAACGGCUCAACCAAGGACGGUUCCGUUCUCCUAAAAAGAAAAAGGACUUCACAGCAGGAGUGGACGGCAUGAAGCGCUGUGUGCUCAGUGCAUCUGGUUCCCCAGCACAGCGGCCGGACUGGAGGCCAUUUUUGUAAGGCUGUGUCCAAAGAAGGGCAAGUCACGAUGGGACUUCAUCAUACAGGACUGUACAGCCAGCGGUUAAAAAGGAUGAAAGGGUUCUUCUGCAAGGGAUCAACCUUCCACCUCCUCGCCCUGUUGCUGCUGAAGCACUUCCCUCAGCCAGCCUUCGCCCUGUUAUCCUUCCUCCAACCCCUGGUGUCCAGCUCAGUUACCAUCUGCCCCAGAGCACAGUAGGGCAAGCCAGGGUUAAGAGGCGAGCAGCAGAAGACCCUGUUGGUGCCCCACCUACCGUCUAUGCAAGACCUGUGGCCUACCAAGGCAGCUUUUCCCAAAGCCAGCAGCUGCCUCAGCCACACCACCUCCUGUUGUCUCUGCCCAUUUCCCUCCGCUUCCAUCUUUCCCUCAGAGCCCUGCCACUGAUUUUUCCCCUUCACCUGCUCCCUCAGUGCAUCCCUGCUAUCCCACACCAGCCCUCACCUGGCCCACAGAAACCCACCUCCAAGGCCAGGUUUAAUAAAUGAACAGUGGAGGCGAAUUCAUGCCGGAAAUGUGGACAGCAUACCAUGCUUAUUCCAAAUCCAAUUCCGGCCCGCGACCUAUGUCAAAAUAAUAAUGUAAUCCGGCCCUUGAGGGUAUUUUUAAUUGCGACAAACAAAGAUACUGAU